CAGCCGCCGCGGUAAUACGGAGGGCGCGAGCGUUGUCCGGAUUCACUGGGCGUAAAGCGGGUGUAGGCGGUCGGGUAAGUCGGACGUGAAAGCCCGGGGCUCAACCCCGGAAGGGCGUCCGAAACUGCUCGACUUGAGGGCGGGAGAGGGAGGUGGAAUUCCCGGUGUAGCAGUGAAAUGCGUAGAGAUCGGGAGGAACACCAGUGGCGAAGGCGGCUGCCUGGGGAGUCACUGACGCUGAGGCGCGAAAGCUAGGGGAGCAAACAGGAUUAGAUACCCUGGUAGUCCUAGCCGUAAACGAUGAGCGCUAUGUGUGAGGGGUAUCGACCCCCCUCGUGCAGUAGCUAACGCAUUAAGCGCUCCGCCUGGGGAGUACGGCCGCAAGGUUGAAACUUAAAGGAAUUGGCGGG
rnacentral:rRNA from 1 species